rnacentral:lncRNA from 1 species
CACGCCGGCCGCGCGAGUCCCUGUACCGGUCUCUCCGGUCGUCCUUCCGUUUGUCGCCUUUGUCGCCAUCCUUGCAGAAGUGGUACGUCUUGGACGGAGGGGGCGGAUGAUGCGGGAACGUGUCGAAGAGGCGGCUGGGCACCUCCGCACCGUCCGCGACCCCAGGUGCCGCUGCGGCAGCCGGCGUUUUGCCGGCGUCAGGCGCCGUUUUGGUCGACCGUCGCGCGGGUGUAGUCGUGGAUUUCGUCGAGGUGGACGUAGACGCAAUAUUCGCGGCCGUGUUGCCUGUGUUCCGGCGGUGUUUCCGUCACGAGGACAGACUCGAGCUGCCUGUCCCGAGCCCUAGGUUAGCCGGACAUUCUUGGCUAUGGCGCUCGCCGUCCAUGCCCACAAGUCUAUCGUCUCCAUCUCUGCAGGGCACAUAAUGUUGGUCUC